rfam:Myotis brandtii contig259990, whole genome shotgun sequence.
AGUGGUUCUUGGGUGAUGCACCCUGGAAUCGGGCUCUCUCCUCUCUGGUUCUGGGUGUGUCACCUGAGAACCACC